ensembl:lncRNA
ACUGCACGUUCGCGGGUGCGGUAAGCAUUUCCCUGGUAACGGGGAUCCCGACCAAUAGAGUGACGCUACAGGAUUUCGGUAGUUUGGUAACGUUACCUCUUCAUGACAAUGCGUAUAGAACAUGUACGACUUCGACCUACGUCUACGAAUUCUACCGGAGCAUAUUCCAUCGUUUCAAAAUCUCGUAGCUGGUGGUGUUUAGCCUUGGAGAAUACUAAUGAGAAUGUACACGGUGACUGGACCGAGCAUGGGACCUGCCACCGGCCUGGGACAUGACAUCAGACAAGCUUAAAGGAAAAGUAUGAAGGUGGAGAAGACGCUGCUUGGAUCCAUGCUGAAUUAGUUCAUUUUCAUCGACAUGGCGGAGAGGGAGGGAGAAGGAUAGAUUGGUAGGACAGAUGGGUGUUCAGCGGGGAGAAUAUAAAACAAGGAACACGAGGAGGAGAACUCGAUAAGGUGUCGGCGAGAUGGAGAUCCAUGGCAGGGGAAGUAACGACGAGGGCUAUAAAUCCACAACCGUGGCGCAUGACAGGGGGGAAGGAAAGAAAAGUUGGACAAGCCCACGGAAAGUAGAUUCUGAUGGAAAACCUGUGGAAAAAAGCAAGGCACUGGGAGCAGGAAAAACACGUUGGACAGACAGAGGAGAGGGAGGUUCAUGUUUAUGGAGUGGGGUGCUGGUGAUGGUGGUGGGGAGAAGUGGUAGUUGUGGUGACGGUGGUGGAUGAGAUGGCGGUGGUGGUGGUUGAUGAGCUGGUUGUGGUGGUCGAGGUGGUGGUAGUGGUGCUAGAGGGGGGAGGGGGUAUAGAGCAGCAGUAAGGGAGAUAACGAGAGGGGAUGGGAGAGAUGUGAAAGGAGGAGAGGGGGUGGCGGUGUGAUAGAGGGUGAAGAGUGGAGCACUGGAGGACGGUGGAUGGUGGAUGGGCAGGAAAAGACAAAAGACAGACAGAAAGACGGACAGACAGACAGACAGACAGUCAGGGGAUCUGUUAGGGGAUGAAGACACAAGCAGAUGCGCAGAGAUAAGGCAGCCAAAGGAUCAGCCCAGAGAGCCAUGCACACCCAACUGCUUUAGCUGGAGCUCAGCAGGAUGAGAAAGUCAGAGGAAGAGCGAACAGCACAAAGAGAGGUGGAGAGAGAGAAGGAGGAAGAUUAAAGUGAUAGACUGAGGGAAAAGAGGGAGGAGAUAUGAGCCGUAUGAGUGAAAAAAGGAGAGAGAGAAGAAAG